UACGUAGGGUGCGAGCGUUAAUCGGAAUUACUGGGCGUAAAGCGUGCGCAGGCGGCUUUGCAAGACAGAUGUGAAAUCCCCGGGCUUAACCUGGGAACUGCAUUUGUGACUGCAUGGCUGGAGUGCGGCAGAGGGGGAUGGAAUUCCGCGUGUAGCAGUGAAAUGCGUAGAUAUGCGGAGGGACACCGAUGGCGAAGGCAAUCCCCUGGGCCUGCACUGACGCUCAUGCACGAAAGCGUGGGGAGCAAACAGG
rnacentral:rRNA from 1 species